rnacentral:rRNA from 1 species
UACGUAGGGCGCAAGCGUUGUCCGGAAUUAUUGGGCGUAAAGAGCUCGUAGGCGGCCUGUUACGUCUGCUGUGAAAUCCCGGGGCUUAACCCCGGGCGUGCAGUGGAUACGGGCAGGCUGGAGGCAGGCAGGGGAGAACGGAAUUCCCGGUGUAGCGGUGAAAUGCGCAGAUAUCGGGAAGAACACCCGUGGCGAAGGCGGCACUCUGGGACGGUACUGACGCUGAGACGCGAAAGCGUGGGGAGCGAACAGG